rnacentral:rRNA from 1 species
UACGUAGGUGGCAAGCGUUGUUCGGAUUUACUGGGCGUAAAGGGCGCGUAGGCGGCAGAUCAAGUCAGCUGUGAAAUCUCCGAGCUUAACUCGGAACUGUCAGCUGAUACUGUUUUUGCUAGAGUGCGGAAGGGGCAAUCGGAAUUCUUGGUGUAGCGGUGAAAUGCGUAGAUAUCAUUUGGAACGCCAAUGGUGAAAACAGCUCGCUGGGGGGUGCACUGACACUGAGACACGAAAGCCAGGGGAGCGAACGGG